CUGGCAUCGAUAUGACCACGGUUGCCUUGUAAUAGCAGCAGCAAAGAUAAAAAUGGGGAAAAAAUAUAAAGAAAACCGCUGUCGACGCUGCUUCGCCAGACUCAAGGUCGUCGAGAAUGUUGCUGUUAAAUACAGAAAGAUCUUUUUGGCUGAUCAAUUGGGUCCCCAGUUAAACCAAACAACAUUUUGGUCCAUUACGCCUUAGAAUUGCAAGCAGGUCCCUUGAACAAUGACAUUAAAUUAUAAGAAUUGGCGCACGGAAAGCAGUUGGCCAACUAGAUCAUCGGAUGGGGAGAGGGUAAAAACAAGGCGUGCACGAUCGAUCCAGGGACAAAACACAAGCUUGUAAUGCGGAAGCCAAACGAAAACUUCUUAGCUAUAAAGAGAUAAUAGAAGAUUAUAUCGUAGUUGCGACUUAUUGAAAGCUAAUAACUGACCAACAAAAUAAUAAUACUUUGCUAAAGAAAUAGAUAAAUAAAGUUGCAAAAUUUUUAGUUUAAUCAAUAAAUCAAUGCACAUUCAUUGGUCGAAACGCAAUUUUUUUAAGUCUUUAAAAAACCUGAAUUGUUAUGUUGCAGG